rnacentral:rRNA from 1 species
ACCCGCUGAACUUAAGCAUAUUACUAAGCGGAGGAAAAGAAACCAACAGGGAUUCCCUCAGUAACUGCGAGUGAAGCGGGAGAAGCUCAGGGUUAAAAUCUGCAUAUCGUAUGGUAUGCCGACGUGUACCCUUUGGAUACAUUGGCGCUAUUGGAUCUCGUUCGGAAGUGCUCUGGAAUGGGCCUUCAUAGAAGGUGACAAACCUGUUCCGAACUGGUGAAGGUAGAUCCGUGUAUCUUCGAGUCACACUGUACGAUAUUACAGUGUAAAAUGGGAGGUAUCUUCCUUCUAAAGCUAAAUACAAGAGAAAGACCGAUAGCAAACAAGUACCGUGAGGGAAAGUUGAAAAGCACUCUGAAGAGAGAGUGAAAAUUACUUGAAACCGUAAUCGUGGAAGGGUUGAUUAAGACCGAGAAGGUGUAGUCCAGUUCCCUAACACGUUAGGGUGAUUGCGGCAUUUGGAUCCUCUGAGAUUUUCGAAGGGGUGAAGGGUGUCAAGUCACUUUAACUGUUGGGUGCUCUGGGUGAAGCCAUCCAUGGACUAUAUAGGGCGUUAAUUGCUGAAGGAAGGUCCUUUGUGACUUGUCACUUAGGGAAACUCCGGAGGUGCUUA